UACGAAGGGGGCUAGCGUUGCUCGGAAUCACUGGGCGUAAAGGGUGCGUAGGCGGGUCUUUAAGUCCGGGGUGAAAUCCUGGAGCUCAACUCCAGAACUGCCUUUGAUACUGAGGAUCUUGAGUUCGGGAGAGGUGAGUGGAACUGCGAGUGUAGAGGUGAAAUUCGUAGAUAUUCGCAAGAACACCAGUGGCGAAGGCGGCUCACUGGCCCGAUACUGACGCUGAGGCAAGAAAGCGUGGGGAGCAAACAGG
rnacentral:rRNA from 1 species